UCACGGGUGUAGUAGUAAAUUCUGAUUGGAAAAUCGAAUUGCUAGUCAGCAAACUUGAUUUUUUGUAGUGAAAAAGCGGCAGCGGAUAAUCGAUAAAGUCGGAGGUCGAAUGGCGAAUGCAAAUUCCGGCGAGAAAUAUAAGAAAAAGAAGGAGCAUCAUUGGAAACCUUAGCACCGUAAUUAAAAUGGAAAGACGAUUCCAGUCUGGAAGAUUACGGAGAUGUCGGUGAUGUCGUCUUGCCCGGUUCCCCCAGUAAAGAAAUUACCGGAACCAAUAUGGGUUAUGUCCAUUAUGGGAACAGAAAACAGUCGCGUCAUCCUCACAAGGAUUUUACAAAACUCGCUAGCAGAGAGAUCCCGGAAUUGUUUUUCUAAAAAUAAAUAAAGUUAAGUGACAGUGAAAAUGUGUGUGAAAAUGUGACGACAGUGAGCAAG